rnacentral:tRNA from 14 species
GGGUUCUUAGCUCAGUUGGUAGAGCGGCGGUCUCCAAAACCGUAGGUCGAGGGUUCAAGUCCUUCAGGGCCCGCCA